UUCAGUAUAGCUCCAUUUUAUUGGUGACAAAAUUUGAGUCAGUUUCAGAAAGAGAAGCUCUCUUCUAUUUCCUAAGAUCUCUCUUCUGCAAGUAUGUGUUUCAUAUUCUCUUGUUAUCCUCUCUUCAGAACAGCCUUUUAGGUGAUAAUAUUGAUGGAGUGUAACUACAAAGAUGAAGUGUUUUAUGAGCAGAAUAGCAGCAAUCUGACUUAAAGCAAUUUCCGCCCAAUGGUCUGUGAUGCCCGAGUCGAAGUUACAUCAUAUUGCUGGCACAUAACCAGUUUGCAAAAAAAUACCUUUUCCAGAUGUCUUUUCCAAAGCGUUAUGCUAAGAAUAAUGAACUUAAACAACAGGAAGGCAGAUUCCAACUGAAUAUUAUAAAAUAUAUCCUAACACUAUGAAGUGAAAUAAAUUAUUGAAGGAGCUGAUGGAUUCUUUUCACUGGAUGUUUUUAAGCAGAACAGAGGCUAAUAACUUCUCUCUGGUAUGGUUUAAUAGUGUAUGUGUUCUGAACUGAACAGGGUUUGGGUGGAUUGGCCUAAAUGUUAACCUUCCAGCUCUGAUUCAGAAUGAGUUUCUCUUAUGCAAUUUAGCAUAUUUAAAUAAUGCUUGGCAAAAUACAUGUAAAGGCACCUGGCUUGCUGGGUUUUUUCCCCCUGCUAAUUUAGGACAUUUGAAAAGAUUCAUUAUCCACAACCAUUCUGUAGGUUAUAUACGCAGGAUUGUGAACUCUAAAACCAAUUCAAAUGAAGAUAUAAAUACUGCUG